ensembl:lncRNA
GGUUCCGCUCCGGGAAGCGGCCGGGAACGGGGCCGGUCCGGUCCGGUCCGGAUGGGCUCGGGGAGCCGCGGGGCGGGCGCGGAGCGCAGGAGCUCUUGGCUUGGUCAGGAGUGAAUCCCCAGCUUGGCGUAGCAGCGCCAGUGGCUAUGGAGUGACCUGUGCUCCGGGUGCGUGGCUGAAGCGGCUGCCUGGGCACCGAAUGCGCCCGGCCCACGUGCUCCUCGCCUCUGCCAUGAAUGAUGCAUCGACGAUGGAUUAUGAACUGCUGUCCCCCUCCUUGGUUGAGCACCCAGCCGGCUCUGCGGGUAUGGAUGCUGAGCAGAAAACCGUCUUUGCCUUUGUCAUCUUCCUUCUGGUCUUCUUGGUGAUGCUGAUGGUGCGCUGCUUCCGCAUCCUGCUGGACCCCUACAGCCGCAUGCCCGCCUCCUCCUGGACUGACCACAAGGAGGGGUUGGAGAGGGGCCAGUUUGACUACGCCUUGGUGUAGAGGGCAGGGAUGGGGCGAGCCUGGGUGCUCUGUGUGCCUCCCACCCCGGCUGGCCCCGGCCCCGGCCCCCCCUUCCUCUGUGGUGUUGCCCUGGGCCAGCAAGGAUGCUCUGGGCAGGGAGGGGAGGUCAGGCUCUCGCCCGGGGUGGGUUUUCUAGGGGUUUCUCUCUUUUCUAAGCACUUUUCAGUUCUCUUUGCAGUCUGCAGGACUCUUGGAGAGAUAUGUUGGAGGGGGAGAUGUGGCUCUGCAUGGUCCCUGCUGCCCACCGUGGGACAGGGGCAGGAGGUGAUGGGGCAGGGCAUGGCGGGACCUGCCCUUGGCCACAGCCCACAGGGCUCCUGCUCUGGGUGGCUCUGCCUGGUGCCAGGCCAGAGCUUUGACCCCCACCUCCUCCUGCCCCCCCAUGUCACCCUCGUCUGUGUCCUCCGGGGAGUGCUGAUCGUGGUCCAGUGCGUGUGUGUGUGUGUCCCUGUAGCUGAGCUGUGUCUGUCAGGGGGUUUAUAGGCACCAGACCCAAGUGCUGGCUUUGUUCUUCUCUGUGUGGCAGCCCCAAGUGCCCCCCACCCCCAGUCCAUAAGUGAUGGGGAGAUGGAGACCCCCAUGUGCAGCCCCCUUUGGGCAUCCAGCCCUGCAGCCUGCUCCGCUUUACACCGCAGUGACCUGUCCAUGCCCAACUGGUGAAGAUGGUCUGAGCAAGGUGCAGUCAAGCAGCUUCCUGCAGACCUGCCGGGGGGGCCCUGCUGGGAUCCCAGGAGGCAUCCAUGAUCCCAUACAACACUUGGGAGAUGCUUCUCAGCCAGCCCAAGCCUGGCAGCCUCCGACUGUUAUCCCACUACGGCCAGUCCCUGCUACAGAGGGAUUGGGGUGGCCUCCCCAUGGCUGGGGGUUGCUGAAAGGGGCAGAGGGGGGUGACUCUUCCCUGGCCAUCCUGUAUCUGGGUAUCAGAAGGUGUGUGUAAGUAGCUGAGGGGAAAGUAGUGUAAGUAGCUGUCCUCCUGCCGCUCUGCUGAACCAUGCCUAGUGAGUCGGGGUGCUGCAGCUAGCCCAGGGCUAGCCAAAGCCGUGGUGGGUUAUGGUGUGGGCUGGUAAGAAGGUUUAUACUAAGGGAUGUGAGCACAUGGGGGAGAACCUCUCCCUCCACCAUGGAAAUAAAGCUGCACUGUGCUAACCCC